CUUUGCAGCUGGAGACAGUACGCCGAACGACUGAAAAGAACUCGGCCGCAUGCAAGUCAGCGCCUGCUGGCGACACUUUCGAAUUGACGGGGACCCCCUAAAACCCUUCCCACCAAGCCAGCCGGGAAACCGGCUGGUGGCCUGUUCUAACGCACAGGGUAUGGUAACAGAGGAAGCGGAUGAACCGAGUGCCUCUCCGGGGCCUUGGGGAAAUGGGCAAUCCGCAGCGAAGCCCCUUCUCUGCCCCGCGGCAGA
rnacentral:rRNA from 1 species